rnacentral:tRNA from 2 species
GCGGGAAUGGCUCAGUUGGUAGAGCGCUACCUUGCCAAGGUAGAGGUCGAGGGUUCGAACCCCUUUUCCCGCUCAG